UAAACACUGCCUGUAAUGAUUUCCAUGGGGAAUGAGAUAUAGAAGAGAUUUGGGAAGGAGGACAUAUAAAUGGAGCUGGCAGUAAGUACAGCCAGAAUGAGUUGUGUAAGAAGCCUGGGGGAUGCUAAAGUGCUGCUACCACCACCUACCACCACCUACUAUCACUUACCACUGCUGGUUACCACCUACUACCACCUAUCACCACCUGCCACUGUGUGCCACCACCUACAACCGCCUGCUAUCUCCUAGUAUCACCACCUAUGAGGAUCUGCCAACACCUGCCACCACCUAUCACCACCUCUUGCCACCACUAUUACUGCUUCUUCUUGACACCUGUUGUUGUGUUCUACAGGCCCCAAAGCUGUGUGGAAUGGGUUCCCAAUCUCACCAAUAUUUUAAGGGCCAUAGUUCUCUCAGUUUUAACUUUCAGACCCUUCUUACCUUAUUACUUGAGUAUAAAUCCAAACAAGUUAUAUUUUGCAAGUGA